rnacentral:sRNA from 1 species
AUUGGCCAAAAGUUUGUAGAGGGCGGGCCUCGCUCACUCUCAUUGGUCAGUUGCUCGCUGUGGUCCCAUCCCUCAUGCUUCCAUUGCUUGAUUCAUCGAAAAGGGCGGGGACUCUGGGCAGCGGUUGUGGAGUGCCGCGGGUCCACAGUGCUGCACUGAGCAGAGAGGAAGGGGCGUCCCGGGAUAUUUGGAGGAUAAAGGUGUGGGCAAGGGUGAUGACCACACCUGCCGGCUCCGGCAGGGGCUUCGGCUCCGUGUCCUGGUGGGGCCUGUCCCCGGCGCUGGACCUGCAGGCUGAAAGGGAUGCUACGGUGGACGCUCUGCCAACCACCAUGGUGCCCCAGCCGGCUGUCAUCUUGCCAGGUCCUCCUGUGGACCCAGACUCCCAGGCCGAUACAGUGCACAGCACCCCCGAGCUAGAUGUGCUGCUUCUGGGCUCUGUGGAUGGACGGCACCUGCUGCGGACCCUGUCCCGAGCGAAGCUCUGGCCUCGCAGGAGGUUCAACGUGAGCUGGGAUGAAGAUGAGAGCCCAGAUUCCCGAGUCCU